AGCACUAAAAGAAAAGAGGCACCAAGCCGGAUGGAAAGGCAAGCAGUGGGAGUCUGACAGUCAUGGAGGAAAUGUGGAAGUGGGCUGGGAGGACAGGAUAACAGGAGCAAUGGCAAGGACGUUCAUCACAUAAAAGGGUAUCGACAACACAGACUGGCGUCAGUAUGAAAUGAAAAUGAAAAUCUGAAGAACCAAAGUGAGGAAUUUGUAAGGACAGGAAACCUGAUGGUGAAAGACAGUGAACCAGACCUGAGCAGGAUAUGUCCAGUCUGUGGACAGGAAGAGAUAUGAGCAUUACCUCAUGUCAAACAGGAAGAUGCAUCUAUUUGAAAUUACUCCUGACUGUUUACCUUCCACUGUCAGAAUCCAGGCAAACGCUGCUGGGCAUCAGUGAAUUAUGCAGAACAUCUUCAUUUACCAACCAACCUGUACUGCAAUACACUACCUGUUAAUUGCAACAUGUGAGUAAUAUUGCAUUCCAUUUAAGUCUUUCCUGUGUGUCUUCAAUAUGUUAAAUACUGAAAACUGUUUGCUGAAAUUACAGUGAAAUAACUAAUUAUCCAGGUCUGCUGUACAUUCUUUUUGGGAAGUUUCUCUCUUCCCAGCGAUGUGCGACUAUGUAGUUGUUAUAUAUUAUAUCUAUCUAUCUAUACAUACAAACAUGGACACAGACACAC